AAUGGAAUUGCACUAGUGUAGAAAAACCUAGCAAUUUGUCGACAUGCUUCUUCUCUAAUAUCCUUUUUUAGCAAUUGAUUUAGAGUUGUUUGUGUAUUUCCACUCCCACUAGCUACUCUCUUUCCUUUAUCCUUGGAGCUAAUUUCUUUUAUUUCAUCAUCAUCAUCAUCAUCAUUUCCACUAUAUUGAAGGGCCUUUCUUUUCUUUUCAGUUGCCUCUAGAUUUUCCACUAAAACACCCAAAAUCAUCUGCUUAACAUUUUCUGGCACUUGCUGACAUGGCUCAACAUCCUUACGAGUGCAAGCCAAAUGUUGUUUGAAACGAAAUAUACCUCCACUAAUAAUUUUUUGACAAUACUUGCACAAAACUUUUCUAGAAUUUUUAUCAACAUCUAUACCAUGCUGCCAUCCCACAUCAAGCCUAUUACUAGAAGCAUUUU
rnacentral:lncRNA from 1 species